GUAGAGAUCUGGAGGAAUACCGGUGGCGAAGGCGGCCCCCUGGACAAAGACUGACGCUCAGGUGCGAAAGCGUGGGGAGCAAACAGGAUUAGAUACCCUGGUAGUCCACGCCGUAAACGAUGUCGAUUUGGAGGUUGUGCCCUUGAGGCGUGGCUUCCGGAGCUAACGCGUUAAAUCGACCGCCUGGGGAGUACGGCCGCAAGGUUAAAACUCAAAUGAAUUGACGGGGGCCCGCACAAGCGGUGGAGCAUGUGGUUUAAUUCGAUGCAACGCGAAGAACCUUACCUGGUCUUGACAUCCACAGAACUUAGCAGAGAUGCUUUGGUGCCUUCGGGAACUGUGAGACAGGUGCUGCAUGGCUGUCGUCAGCUCGUGUUGUGAAAUGUUGGGUUAAGUCCCGCAAC
rnacentral:rRNA from 1 species